rnacentral:lncRNA from 1 species
UAUUCUGCUACCAUCGCCCAUAUACUAGAAUUGCUCUACUCUCUAUUCCCAUAUUAUUACUCACUGUUAUCUUACCUUUAAUAUUGUUCUUAUUCAAUUCUACUAUCUUUCCUAUUUAUACCUAUCUAUCUAUCUUGGUUAAGUUAGAGCGUAGUUGGUUCUCCCGUUUCCCUAUGGAUACGAUAAAACCUUCAACCGGGUAAAAGCUUCAACGGUAUCCGUGCGCUUGCGGAUUAUCUGUGUGCGUAUAAAUACCAUAGUACACUCUAGUGCCAUGCUGGGGAUGACAACCUAGUAUUCAAGUGGUGUUAGCAAGUGUCAACAAGCAUUUUUGGCGCCGUUGCCAGGGAAACGGUUGCUGAGUUGACUACGAACUAGUUUAAUCAAUUUAUAAAAAAAAAUAUAUAACAAAAAAAAUAUUUUCCUUUUAUCCUUUGCCUCAUCUCUGCUAUUCUUUCUUCUUAUCUAAUCAUUGAUCUCUGGUCUAUUAUGAAUUCAAACAUGUCUAUCUAUGAAUUUCAUAGACCUGUGGGCACACAUCUCGAACCACCAAAAUCUUCAAAGCCUAUCAUAGCAUCUAGUUUUGAGAUAGACCCCGAAUACAUAGAAUUUAUUCAAAAACAACCUUUCUCAGGAGAAGGUGAGGAAAACCCAUAUACACACCUAAGAGAGUUUUAUCGAGUCUGUGACCUCCUUCGCAUAGAAGGCAUGUCCGAUG